rnacentral:rRNA from 1 species
AGAGUUUGAUCAUGGCUCAGGACGAACGCUGGCGGCGUGCCUAACACAUGCAAGUCGAGCGGUCUCGCCUAUAGCAAAAGGCCUUCGGGCUUCGAGCAAAGGCGAGAUAGCGGCGGACGGGUGAGUAACGCGUGGCUUAUCUGUCCCAGGGAGGGGGAUAACGUCUGGAAACGGGCGCUAAUACCCCAUAUGCCGGUGAGGUAAAAAGGAGAAAUCCGCCCUGGGGUGAGGCCGCGUCCUAUCAGCUAGUUGGUGAGGUAACGGCCCACCAAGGCUAUGACGGGUAGCCGGCCUGAGAGGGCGGCUGGCCACACUGGGAUUGAGAUACGGCCCAGACUCCUACGGGAGGCAGCAGUGGGGAAUAUUGGGCAAUGGGGGAAACCCUGACCCAGCGACGCCGCGUGGAGGAAGGAGCCCUUCGGGGUGUAAACUCCUGUUGUAAGGGAAGAAGACAGUGACGGUACCUUACGAGGAAGCCCCGGCAAACUACGUGCCAGCAGCCGCGGUAACACGUAGGGGGCGAGCGUUGUCCGGAAUCACUGGGCGUAAAGCGCACGCAGGCGGAUGCGCGCGUCGGCUGUGAAAUGCACCGGCUCAACCGGUGCACUGCGGUCGAUACGGCGCGUCUGGAGUGCGGGAGAGGGAAGCGGAAUUCCCGGUGUAGCGGUGAAAUGCGUAGAUAUCGGGAGGAACGCCGGUGGCGAAGGCGGCUUCCUGGCCCGCAACUGACGCUCAUGUGCGAAAGCCAGGGGAGCGAACCGGAUUAGAUACCCGGGUAGUCCUGGCCGUAAACGAUGGACGCUAGGUGUGGGCGGUUUAUCCGUCUGUGCCGAAGUUAACGCGUUAAGCGUCCCGCCUGGGGAGUACGAUCGCAAGGUUGAAACUUAAAUGAAUUGACGG